GCGAGGGAGGAAACCGCGCUUUGUUGGUGACGUGAACCGCGUGCACGAUCCCGAGGAAGAAGGGCGAGGGAGGAAACCGCGCUUUGUUGGUGUUCACGGAUAAUGAAGCUGAUGUGAGAGCCCUGGAGAGAAACAUCAGUCAAAGGCAUGCAGGGAAUCCCAUCCAGCGUCCCUCUACUCUCCUCUGCAGCUUCCAUGGUUGGAAUGCUGAGCCAUUGCUAGGACGAUGAGGCUACAGGAAAGUGAAAUGCACCUGCUGCGAUCUGAUCCAACUGACCACUCCUGCUGCUCCUCCCUUGCACCUCAGGCAUCUCCUUCCAAUCUGGAGGAAACACUUUUACCUCCACUUUUCUUUUACAGUCCUCCAAACUCUGUUCCUUCUAGGGAGCACAAGUACAGAAAUAGAAACCUGGACUCCCAUCAUCCUGCUUCACAAACUUACAAUGUUAAAGAAAGAAAAAAAAAAAGACCAAGUACAUUACCUGGUAGAAUUGGAGAGAUGGGCACGAAAGAGCUGUAAAUACAGUUAGAAAACACACUAGCAUUUACAAAUGUGUAUGAGAAACAAUGAGGAGGAUUUUCAGAGACUAUCAUAACCAUUUAUUUUUCUAAUAUGUGAUAAGUAAACGCACAGAAAAUCAAUUUAAUAUUUGGGGCUUUUAUUUCUCAUUUUUUAGAUUGCCAGAAAGACUGUCCAGUGUUAUAAAGUUUGUGUCAAUAUUCUGGAAUUGGCAAUUUUGUCAUUUAUAUGGGAGAAAUAGCUAAAGGUGUAGUAUAAAGUAUUUGCUCGUAGGUAAUGGAAUGUUACCUUUACCCAAAGAUAUAAAAAAUAAACGGUAGAACAAAAACUC
rnacentral:lncRNA from 1 species